rnacentral:rRNA from 1 species
UACGAAGGGUGCAAACGUUGCUCGGAAUUAUUGGGCGUAAAGCGCACGUAGGCGGCCCGGCAAGUCGGAAGUGAAAUCCCACGGCUCAACCAUGGAAGUGCUUUCGAAACUGCUAGGCUUGAGUACAAAAGAGGAUCGCGGAAUUCCCGGUGUAGAGGUGAAAUUCGUAGAUAUCGGGAGGAACACCAGUGGCGAAGGCGGCGAUCUGGGUUGAUACUGACGCUGAGGUGCGAAAGCGUGGGGAGCAAACAGG